rnacentral:lncRNA from 1 species
AACUUCAUUGCAUAGAGAAAACAAUCCUGCAGACAAGCGUUUUCCCUUCUCAUAACCCCACCUAACCUUAUAGCGUUCUACAGAACUGAGUAGUAACACGUACGCGUACUAACUUAUUGUGCGUAUGUAGUUUUACAUAGCUGCAAGCAAUGAAGGUGUCCUAUCAUGUUUUCACAUCUACAUUUAUCAGUACAGUUUGGAAAGUCUUGGAUGAUAGAUUUGAACGAAUCCUCAUGGAACAUGCAGCCCAACUGUCUCAUCGUACAGAUAAUGUAAGGUUAAGAAAACAAGAGGGCCUUGUGCAAGAUCCAGGCACGAGUGCAGGACUCUGCCAGGGCCAGAGCCAGGCCGGGGAUGCCUCACCAAGGUUCUGACAGCAGAGAAAGGUCCAAGGGUAGGGUGGCAUUUCUCCCACUUCUCUCACAGAAUUUCACUGUAACGUGACUUUACUUAUACAAACAGGACAGCCAGCCAGUGUAAUCCCCCCAGACAUCAAAAAGUGUGGGCUUUCCAUGGCACAGCUAGAGGCUGUGGGGUCCUCCUCAUUCUGGCAGCACGUUCAUGAGUCCUGCUAUGUGCCAAAUUAUCUGCUGGGCACCACCUACCCUGAUCCGUCCCUGGUUCCUGCAGCUCAUGCAGUUACACUCUUAAGAGCCAGGUCUUUCAUGUAACUGCUGCACUGGACACCAUGCCCCCAACACAAGUCUAGACAAGACACACUGAAAAGCCACACCUGCAUUGGAAGAGCUUGCAUCAAAUGGGACCUUAAUUGUAUGAGGACACAGCCAUCUGAGAACGCACAAUAUGUCGUCACACGCAGACCACAGGGUGUGCAACCACUGCAGGGAAGGAGGUGUGGCUGGACUGUGGGGGCUGCCUGGCUAGGUCCCCAGUCCACAGAAUACCCAUGUGGCCACAGAUGGAGCCCCACCCACCUUCUCCCACACCUGUCCUCCUUCUGGGGCAUGGCACUCAGCACAUGGAGGGUGCCGCCUGCUCAUCUGGCUGGAAGUCAUGAGAGGGGAAGGGCCCCAUUUCAUUAAUUACCCUCCUUGGCAACAACCUGUCACUGAGUGAAUGGGAUGGAUGUUUGGGGCUUUCAGAUGUCUGUGCAGCUGGGCCCCUGGGGCAUGGCUGAGGUGGCAGCCUUGACUGAAUGCCCUGUGACUGGACAGAUUUGGUCCCAGCCAGGCUAAUCAAUGAGAAAUCCCGCUGGAAGCCUAGACAGGAUGAGACUGGGUGGAUGUGGAUGGGAUGCACCUCUCCUCACAUCCCUGAGUGUCCGUGGCAGCUUUGGCCCAGACUGUUUUCCAGAAUGCCUGCGUGGCGAGCAGCCUGGGGCUGCGACUGGUUUCUCCCUCUUGGCCAGAGAGAGGAUGUGAGCCGGGUACUAAGGAUGCCGUCUCCUCUGGGGGCAGAGCAACACAGCACCAACCACAGCACGCCACCGUGGCAGGCUUGUAAGUGACAGAGAUGACAUAAGGCUGAUGGCAGGACGCACAGAGAGGACACGUGAUACCACGCCACUUCACACCAGGGACCUCGGCGUCUGCAGGAGGUCCUGGGACCAAACCACAGGUACUGAAGGUCGGCUGUACCUGAGAUUAGGAGAAGCUGAAAAGGAAGCUGCUAUAUUAAGUAAGAGAAUUCUAUCAUCAACACACAAUAAGAUACGAGACUUACAAAUAAUAAAAAUGUCAGGGUUCGAGGG